rnacentral:rRNA from 1 species
CGUAGGUGAACCAGCGGAGGGAUCAUUACUGAGUUUACGCUCUACAACCCUUUGUGAACAUACCUACAACUGUUGCUUCGGCGGGUAGGGUCUCCGCGACCCUCCCGGCCUCCCGCCUCCGGGCGGGUCGGCGCCCGCCGGAGGAUAACCAAACUCUGAUUUAACGACGUUUCUUCUGAGUGGUACAAGCAAAUAAUCAAAACUUUUAACAACGGAUCUCUUGGUUCUGGCAUCGAUGAAGAACGCAGCGAAAUGCGAUAAGUAAUGUGAAUUGCAGAAUUCAGUGAAUCAUCGAAUCUUUGAACGCACAUUGCGCCCGCCAGCAUUCUGGCGGGCAUGCCUGUUCGAGCGUCAUUUCAACCCUCAAGCUCUGCUUGGUGUUGGGGCCCUACAGCCGAUGUAGGCCCUCAAAGGUAGUGGCGGACCCUCCCGGAGCCUCCUUUGCGUAGUAACUUUACGUCUCGCACUGGGAUCCGGAGGGACUCUUGCCGUAAAACCCCCCAAUUUUCCAAAGGUUGACCUCGGAUCAGGUAGGAAUACCCGCUGAACUUAAGCAUAUCA